ACGUAGCCGACCUGAGAGGGUAAUCGGCCACAUUGGGACUGAGACACGGCCCAAACUCCUACGGGAGGCAGCAGUAGGGAAUCUUCCACAAUGGACGAAAGUCUGAUGGAGCAACGCCGCGUGAGUGAAGAAGGUUUUCGGAUCGUAAAACUCUGUUGUUGAAGAAGAACAUGCGUGAGAGUAACUGUUCAUGUAUUGACGGUAUUCAACCAGAAAGCCACGGCUAACUACGUGCCAGCAGCCGCGGUAAUACGUAGGUGGCAAGCGUUAUCCGGAUUUAUUGGGCGUAAAGCGAGUGCAGGCGGUUUAUUAGGUCUGAUGUGAAAGCCCUCGGCUCAACCGAGGAAGUGCAUCGGAAACCGGUAAACUUGAGUGCAGAAGAGGAGAGUGGAACUCCAUGUGUAGCGGUGGAAUGCGUAGAUAUAUGGAAGAACACCAGUGGCGAAGGCGGCUCUCUGGUCUGUAACUGACGCUGAGGCUCGAAAGCGUGGGUAGCAAACAGGAUUAGAUACCCUGGUAGUCCACGCCGUAAACGAUGAGUGCUAAGUGUUGGAGGGUUUCCGCCCUUCAGUGCUGCAGCUAACGCAUUAAGCACUCCGCCUGGGGAGUACGACCGCAAGGUUGAAACUCAAAGGAAUUGACGGGGGCCCGCACAAGCGGUGGAGCAUGUGGUUUAAUUCGAAGCAACGCGAAGAACCUUACCAGGUCUUGACAUACCAUGAAAAGCUAAGAGAUUAGUCUUUCCCUUCGGGGACAUGGAUACAGGUGGUGCAUGGUUGUCGUCAGCUCGUGUCGUGAGAUGUUGGGUUAAGUCCCGCAACGAGCGCAACCCUUAUUAUCAGUUGCCAGCAUUAAGUUGGGCACUCUGGUGAGACUGCCGGUGACAAACCGGAGGAAGGUGGGGACGACGUCAAAUCAUCAUGCCCCUUAUGACCUGGGCUACACACGUGCUACAAUGGUCGGUACAACGUGUUGCGAACUCGCGAGGGCAAGCAAAUCACUUAAAACCGAUCUCAGUUCGGAUUGUAGGCUGCAACUCGCCUACAUGAAGCUGGAAUCGCUAGUAAUCGCGGAUCAGCAUGCCGCGGUGAAUACGUUCCCGGGCCUUGUACACACCGCCCGUCACACCAUGAGAGUUUGUAACACCCAAAGCCGGUGGGGUAACCUUUUAGGAGCUAGCCGUCUAAGGUGGGACAAAUGAUUAGGGUGAAGUCGUAACAAGGUAGCCGUAGGAGAACCUGCGGCUG
rnacentral:rRNA from 1 species